UUUAACCGUGCUCAGUUGCUCUCACUGUAGCAUUGGGUUGGUGCCUUACCGAGAAACAGUCGACGGGAUCUGGGCGGGACUGAAUCGCCUCUACUGCUUGUACUUCAUUUACUCUGAAAUCUCCAUGAUCCACCUGGACGACCGCUUGAUACCUCAGGUUUCCAAAUUUCUCCUUCAACUGCCGCUGGUCAUCCGAACAGUAGUCCCACCUGAAAUCUUUUGCCGUCUGUAGUACGAAGUGGGUUUAACUAUUUGGCCAGAAAAAGUUACUAUGAGGACAGAGACAGGGCUUGGAACUGAGGUGACACCCCAACAUAAAGGUACUGAAGUAACCAUUCCAGAGUCAGUCACAGAUGGUAAAAUGGCAAAAGAGGAUGUCAAGCCUCAUGAUGACCCUGGAGAGGUACAUGAUGCAUCGGACAAAACAACAUCCAACAAGAGCCCAAGAUCCUCAGAAAGG